UGGGUUAGUAUUGAAAAACUCCCUUAAGUUUUGUGUAAAUCCAUAUGUGAUCUGUAUAUAUAUUCUAGCUUAAAAGAUAUCUAGAAAUUUUUUCUUAGAUAGCCAUUUUUAAUUUAUUUUCACAAAAAUGGAUCCACAAAGAGGAAAAUGACCAAAAACGUUUUUAUUGAAAGGUAUAUAUGCAUUUAUGCCUUUAGAGUUAACUUUUUGUUUUGUUUUUAACGGUUGAUAUAUUAUGCUAUUACAAACUCUGAGAAAUAUUACAGACGAUUCUACAGCCGAUAAUUCUACAUGCCUUAUGAGGAUUCAUGCAUGACUGCAUCACUUGAGCCGCCCUAUCGGAUCCAUGCUUGACGGUACUCCUUGCGCCAUGCU
rnacentral:lncRNA from 1 species